UACGUAGGGUGCAAGCGUUGUCCGGAAUUACUGGGCGUAAAGCGCGUGUAGGCUGCUCUGUGUGUCGGAUGUGAAAGCCCCGGGCUCAACCUGGGAAGUGCACUCGAAACUACAGAGCUGGAGUCUCGGAGAGGAUCGCGGAAUUCUCGGUGUAGAGGUGAAAUUCGUAGAUAUCGAGAGGAGCACCGGUGGCGAAGGCGGCGAUCUGGACGAUGACUGACGCUGAGACGCGAAAGCGUGGGGAGCAAACAGG
rnacentral:rRNA from 1 species